rnacentral:rRNA from 1 species
CCUACGGGAGGCAGCAGUGAGGAAUAUUGGUCAAUGGACGAGAGUCUGAACCAGCCAAGUAGCGUGAAGGAUGACUGCCCUAUGGGGUGUAAACUUCUUUUAUAUGGGAAUAAAACGUUCCACGUGUGGGAUUUUGUAUGUACCAUAUGAAUAAGGAUCGGCGAACUCCGUGCCAGCAGCCGCGGUAAUACGGAGGAUCCGAGCGUUAUCCGGAUUUAUUGGGGUUAAAGGGAGCGUAGGUGGAUAGUUAAGUCAGUUGUGAAAGUUUGCGGCUCAACCGUAAAAUUGCAGUUGAAACUGGCAGUCUUGAGUACAGUAGAGGUGGGCGGAAUUCGUGGUGUAGCGGUGAAAUGCGUAGAUAUCGGGAGGAACACCAGUGGCGAAGGCGGUUUACUGGACCACAACUGACGCUGAGAAACGAAAGCGUGGGGAGCAAACAGGAUUAGAUACCCGAGUAGUC